rnacentral:snRNA from 1 species
GUGCUCGCUUUGGCAGCACAUAUACUAAAAUUGGAACUAUACAGAGAAGAUUAGCAUGGCCCCUGCACAAGGAUGGCACACAAAUUCAUGAAGCAUUCCAUAUUUUU